UACAGAGGUCUCAAGCGUUGUUCGGAUUCAUUGGGCGUAAAGGGUGUGUAGGUGGCGCCGUAAGUCGGGUGUGAAAUUUCGGAGCUUAACUCCGAAACUGCAUUCGAUACUGCGGUGCCUGAGGACUGGAGAGGAGACUGGAAUUCAUGGUGUAGCAGUGAAAUGCGCAGAUAUCGGGAAGAACACCGGUGGCGAAGGCGGGUCCCUGGGCCGAUACUGACGCUGAGGAGCGAAAGCGUGGGGAGCGAACAGG
rnacentral:rRNA from 1 species